GCGUCUGCGUUGAAGGCGACGCCCGUCACCGCCGCUCCGUGGCCUCGGAGGGGCCGAAUCAAGACAGGGUCCUCCUGGGGAGAGGGUGGUGGGACAAGACACAUUGACUUUAAUUUGGACCUAAUGAAAGCUUUAUGUCAUUAUUACUGCUUCCAGCUCUGGGGCCACCAAUGCAAGAAGGAUGUGGACUUCUCAAGAGAGUCCAGAGGUGGGCCACUAAGAUUAUCUGAGGGCAACUCUCCUGUGGAGACAGGCUAAGAGAGCUGGGCUUGUUCAGCCUGGAGAAUAGAAGGCUCCGGGGAGACCUUGUAACAGCCUUCCAGUACCUAUAGGGGGCCUACAAGAAAUCUUGGAGAGGGACUUUUUACAAGGGCAUGUAGUGACAGGACAUGGGGAAUGGCUUUAAACUGAAAGAGAGUAGAGUUAGAUUAGGCAUUAGGAAGAAGUUCUUUACUGUGAGGGUGAUGAGGCCAUGGAGCAAGUUGCCCAGAGAAGUUGUGCCUGCCCCAUCCCUGGCAGUGUUCAAGGCCAGGUUGGAUGGGGCUUUGAGGAACCUGGUCUACUGGAAAGUGUCCCUGCCCAUGGCAGGGAAGGUUGGAACCAGAUGAACCCUUCCAACCCAAACCAUUCUGUGAUUAUUUGUUCUUGGUUUGGUUUGUUGGUUUUGGUGGCUUUUUUUUCCCUUUUUCCUACACAACUCACUCCCUUUAUGUUAGCUCCUGAUAUUGGUUAUCACUACCUAAAAGGUAGCAUUUGAAAAAGUUGGUACUGAAAAGACUUAAGUGUACCGCCAUACUACCCUAUUGCAGGAGCAGUAUGUUAACUAGUUAAAUUCACUUGUCCUCUUCACCACAACUGAAGUCUUCCAGACGUUUCUCAGCUGUUUUUUGAGCUAUCUUUCUCCUAGAGUUUAUCAGCUGUAAAUGAUGCCUCUCAGCAGGGAGACAGCCUGUCCCUCUGGGAAGCAGGUUUACUACCAGAUUUUGAGUGAUCUUAAGUUAUUCUAUCCUUCCCAAAACUCCCCUCUGUGCAGCUGUAAUUGUGUAUUAUGGUAUCUCAGUAUUUCUGCCACCUUAUGUUCUCAGGUUCAGAUGUGUUCAUAAAGCUCCUUAAAACCAAGAGGACAGAAGCACGUGUUACUUUAUUUGCAAGCUGAGCUAUAUGACAGUUCCCAGUCAUGCUGAACCUUUUUCCUUUUUCCUUCUUCACAGCUGCUACAGUACCAGCAGCUCAGCAUCCCUUAUUCAUUUUGGGCUGCUAGCAAUAAACUGAAAUCUGUACCAGCCCACAGAACUCCUGAAUUAUAAAGUGCCAGGUGAUAGGUAUAAAGCAAAGAAUGGACUGUGAUUACCGAGAAAAAAAAGGGUGGCAUCCUUCUUUCUAUAAGUUGCUGGAAUAGUGUUUCUCAAAUUGCAGGGCUUACAAAGUUAGUCUGUUCCAUGCUGCUUCUCCUUACCUGCCAGUGUUUUGAAGACUCCCAGAUGCUUGUAGAAAGCAAAGUAUUCCCUUGGCGCAGACAUGUAAUUAGCUGUAAUGACUGCAGUUAUAAAGCUGGCAGGUAUAGUUUUUAUGCUGAUUAUUUUUUUCUGAUUAACAUGAAUAGAUUUUAUUUUUAGAAUUAAGAUUAUUGUAAGUCCUAGUAAUUUAAUGCAAUUAUGAGUUGGCAUUGUGUUUUUGAGGUUGAGAAUAAGUGAUCCACAAUAGGGAAGAGCAAUCUACUGCAUUAAGUUGUUGUGCGCUGUGAUGACAAUGAUAAAUGGUGCCUCAGAAAACAUCUUCCAGGCAUCAUGUCUCAGUAAGCUGUUGUUUCAGCAGCUAUGGAGUUUUUUCUCGGACACUGAGUUAAGGUAAUGGAUGACCAAACAGUAACCAUGUAUACGGAGAAACGCUUUAAGAUUCUAACUCAAGGUUCUUGCAGGCUGCAUGGUCACUGUGGGAAAGGACCUAGUAGAAGUACAUGUAGAAUUCAAGGACACUUAGAAAAACCUGGUACCCUUUGUGCAUGUAAGUAAAUUACACUGAUCACAUGUGCUUUGGUGAUAACUGAGGUCAUACAGUGUAUAUGCACAAGGUGCAAAGGUAAUAUACUAACCCAGCUAAAAUUCUGUCAUAUCUAAAAUGCGGACUUUUUACUCCGUGUUAAACCUGCUUCAAAAUAAAACCGACAGCCCCAGUUUUAAUUGCUGGGAUCAUAUUGGGAGCAGCUGUGUUAGCAGCAGGGCUGUUCAGACCCCGGGAGAGGCCUUUUGCCCUCGGGCUGGGGAACCCGAACAGGCGGUGGUGCGCCGUGGGCACUAGAGGGGAGUGUGAGAUACGGUUUGCUAGCGUGAUGUCGAUUAUUCAUCCACAUCCACCUACAUGCAGGGGAAGAAUGUAGUCUCAGGGCACAAGGGUUUAAUUACAGGCUGUCUUGCAGUUGUAGACCCAUAAUACCUUAUGCCCCUGGCACCUUUCCAACCUCUGAUCCUACCUUUUUUCUCCUACAUCAAAAUGGUUAUGAAAGUAAAUACUGAGACUGUAAAGUAA